rnacentral:rRNA from 1 species
UACGAAGGGGGCUAGCGUUGCUCGGAAUCACUGGGCGUAAAGCGCACGUAGGCGGACUCUUAAGUCGGUGGUGAAAUCCUGGAGCUCAACUCCAGAACUGCCUCCGAUACUGGGAGCCUUCGAGUCCGGGAGAGGUGAGUGGAACUGCGAGUGUAGAGGUGAAAUUCGUAGAUAUUCGCAAGAACACCAGUGGCGAAGGCGGCUCACUGGCCCGGUACUGACGCUGAGGUGCGAAAGCCAGGGGAGCAAACGGG